AUGACGAAGACUUGGCAAAUUUUGGUGGCUAUUCUGUGGCUUCAGUUAAGCUGUAAAACAGGGGUCAAUGGCAAAAAUGGAGUGGAGCAAAGUCCCCAGCACCUGAGUGCCCAGGAAGGAGAAGUUAUCACAAUCAAUUGCAGUUACUCCAUAGGCAUGACCAGCUUACACUGGAUGCGACAGAAUCCUGGAGGAGGCAUCGUCUCCUUGUUUACACUGAGCUUAGAGAUGAAGAAGAAAGGAAGAAUAAGUGCCACAAUAAACACAAAGGAGAGUCGCAGCGCCCUGCACAUCUCAGCCGCCCAGCCCAGAGACUCUGCCGUCUACCUCUGUGCUGUGGAGACACAGUGCUCCCCAAGCAUCUGGAGGCCGUACCCAAACCCUGAAGCUGAGACAUCAUUUCUUCUCAUUCUUGUCUUUCCAGACUUGUCUGCCUCUUUCCUUGGACAGAUGAU